CGGCGAGUGAGCGGGAGAGCUCAAUUUGAAUCUGGUAGCCUUCGGCUGCCCGAGUUGUAAUCUAGAGAAGUGUUUUCCGUGCCGGCCCAUGUACAAGUCCCUUGGAACAGGGCGUCAUAGAGGGUGAGAAUCCCGUCCUUGACAUGGACCCCCGGUGCUUUGUGAUACACUUUCAACGAGUCGAGUUGUUUGGGAAUGCAGCUCAAAAUGGGUGGUGAAUUCCAUCUAAAGCUAAAUAUUGGCGAGAGACCGAUAGCGAACAAGUACCGUGAGGGAAAGAUGAAAAGCACUUUGGAAAGAGAGUUAAACAGUACGUGAAAUUGUUGAAAGGGAAACGAUUGAAGUCAGUCAUGCUCUUUGGAUUCAGCCGUUCUGCGGUGUAUUUCCAUUGAGUGGGGUCAACAUCAGUUUUGACCGCUGGAUAAAGGCACUAGGAAGGUAGCACUCUCGGGUGAACUUAUAGCCUAGCGUCAUAUACAGUGGUUGGGACUGAGGAACGCAGCAUGCCUUUAUGGCCGGGAUUCGUCCACGUACAUGCUUAGGAUGUUGACAUAAUGGCUUUAAACGACCCG
rnacentral:rRNA from 1 species